rnacentral:rRNA from 1 species
GAUGAACGCUGGCGGCGUGCCUAAUACAUGCAAGUCGAGCGAACAGAUAAGGAGCUUGCUCCUUUGACGUUAGCGGCGGACGGGUGAGUAACACGUGGAUAACCUACCUAUAAGACUGGGAUAACUUCGGGAAACCGGAGCUAAUACCGGAUAACAUAUUGAACCGCAUGGUUCAAUAGUGAAAGGCGGCUUUGCUGUCACUUAUAGAUGGAUCCGCGCCGUAUUAGCUAGUUGGUAAGGUAACGGCUUACCAAGGCAACGAUACGUAGCCGACCUGAGAGGGUGAUCGGACACACUGGAACUGAGACACGGUAAAGACUCCUACGGGAGGCAGCAGUAGGGAAGCUUCCGCAAUGGGCGAAAGCCUGACGGAGCAACGCCGCGUGAGUGAUGAAGGUCUUCGGAUCGUAAAACUCUGUUAUCAGGGAAGAAAAAAUGUGUAAGUAACUGUGCACAUCUUGACGGUACCUGAUCAGAAAGCCACGGCUAACUACGUG